AUGCUCUCCGUCACCUUCUGCGCCAGCUCCGGGGGCGUGGACGGCGAGCCAGCCACGGCCACCAGCCGUCGGCCGUGCGCGCGCAUCGCCCGGGCGGCGAACGACACGACGUUCGGGCGAGAUGGCAGCGUGGCCGGGGGCUGCGCAACGGUUCUGGGAGCCGGAAAGGUGGCCAUGAAGGCCAUGGUGGUGAUGGUGGCCAUGGCUUCCCACUUGGUUCGCAGUAGGGUGGAAGAGAAGGUUUUGGUUGGGGUCUGGCCGUUUAGGUUACGCCAUUUUUAUGUGGCUCUCUGCUCCUUAUCGUUUGGGGGCCAAUCCCGUUGUGACAGAUCAGCCUUGGCAGAUUUCCUUUCUAGAAGAUAUUUAUCAAUCGGGUGUGUCUAG
rnacentral:rRNA from 1 species